AAACGGUCAAAUCUAAUGCGCGAAAGAAGAGUUUCUCCGCCUGGCACAAACAUAUCCGGGAAAACUUAAGCACAGCCAGAGAGCACCUCAACCAUUGUUCAUCAUCAAGGAUCUUUACACAGCCAAGCACAAACCAAAGUUCUCAGAAACUCUACGAGGAAUGCGAGAGACAAGCUCUUGGCAACUAGGCUAUGGAUAGACUGGAUGCUGCUGCAGCGUCGGUAACAUCCCCAGAGUUGUCUAACUCCAAAGAGA
rnacentral:misc_RNA from 1 species